rnacentral:rRNA from 1 species
AACGACUCUCGGCAACGGAUAUCUCGGCUCUUGCAUCGAUGAAGAACGUAGCGAAAUGCGAUACUUGGUGUGAAUUGCAGAAUCCCGUGAACCAUCGAGUUUUUGAACGCAAGUUGCGCCCGAUACCAUUAGGUUGAGGGCACGUCUGCCUGGGCGUCACACACA